CACUGAGGCCAGCAGGGACAGCUCGGAAGCGGCAAAAGGGUUCCUUUGAGGGUCCAAGGAGCACAUCCAUUUCAGGGUCCUCUCCAAAAAAACCCAGGAGAGAGCCAGGGCCAUACAGAGCAGUGCUGCCCUGCUCAAAUUUGCCACCUCCCUGCCUGCAUUUGAGGGCUGAACAUCAGAGAGGCAAGAGAGCUGUGGUGUCGGGACGGGCUCCAGGACACCGAGCGCCUGGGCUAUAGGAACAUGGCCAGGAUGGGGGGAGGUAAGGACUCUCCACCGGUGCUCAGGUGUGGCGCUGUCUCCCCCCCACCCCUGCAGUGAGCGUGUCAUGGAUACAGGGCAAGAGCCUGCUACUUGUUUCCAGCAGAGUAUGUGAGGCUCAUGGGAAUGUCAGUGAGGUGAGGCAUGGGAAUGAUCCAGAUCUGAAAGACCCCUAAUCUCUAGCAGGUGAGCUGCAGGAGAGAUUGCUGCUGGGAGCAGUAGUGUCCUUUUUUGUCUGUAUGAGUUGGGUUCCAGAGUGCGCAGACACAUUUCCAGCAUCUCAUGACACCUGCGGUGAAUCCUGCUCCAGAAAGAGCUAUUCGAGGCCUCAGUGCCUGCAACCUCUUACUUACCAAGGGGGGCUCCUUGGUCAAUGGGUUGGCUGCCCCAGGACUCUUAUCCACCUUGUGAGCCACUAGAGGGAUUUGGAGCCUGGUUCUGGACAAUUGCAAGGGCUCUGGUGCUGUAGGUUUUAGGUCUUCGGCAGACCAAUGAAGAACUUUCCUCCAAGUGGCGCUUCUGGCCAUACACGACCCCCAGCUCCAUGUCAGCCAGGCUAAAUAACCUACCUUGAGAGGUAAGUAAAAUUGUGGCCACAUGUAGACAUCACAGGAAUUGGUGGGGAUUGACCCAGGGUCCUUCAGCACAAGCCCCUCUCACUCACUGUCAACAAAUCCAGCUCCACUCACUAGACCACACCCCAUUGCAGAGCCCCAGAUUUCAGGAGCCCUGAUUCUCAGACCCAGGCCUCACAUCACAAGGCCAAACCUCCUCCCAUUCUGGGCGCUGUAGA